rnacentral:rRNA from 1 species
GUGGGGAAUCUUAGACAAUGGGCGAAAGCCUGAUCCAGCCAUGCCGCGUGUGUGAAGAAGGUCUUCGGAUUGUAAAGCACUUUAAGUUGGGAGGAAGGGCAGUAAGUUAAUACCUUGCUGUUUUGACGUUACCGACAGAAUAAGCACCGGCUAACUUCGUGCCAGCAGCCGCGGUAAUACGAAGGGUGCAAGCGUUAAUCGGAAUUACUGGGCGUAAAGCGCGCGUAGGUGGUUUUGUAAGUUGGAGGUGAAAUCCCCGGGCUCAACCUGGGAACUGCCUCCAAAACUGCAUGACUAGAGUACGGUAGAGGGUAGUGGAAUUUCCUGUGUAGCGGUGAAAUGCGUAGAUAUAGGAAGGAACACCAGUGGCGAAGGCGACUACCUGGACUGAUACUGACACUGAGGUGCGAAAGCGUGGGGAGCAAACAGGAUUAGAAACCCGAGUAGUCC